AUGCUUAUGGCUUAUCCCAAGAAUCCCCCUUCGGAUUCGGUUUCAAUAAAUGAAAUAAAUGGGAAUACUUCUACAGUUCUACCACAAAACAUCUCAAACCAAAGCCCAAGUCAAAUAGCUAACUAUAUAUAUGAUGAGAAAUCUCUCUGCCUUAAUCCCUAUCCAAAAAGGAAGGAUUUGAAUUUGUUCUAUGAGAGCUCCAGCCUCCUCCACAACAUCGAGGCCCCUAAUCGCCACCACCGCUUCCUUCCGAUGACGCAACCUCCACACCAGCCGCCACGCCUUCAUGCCUCCGCCUGGCGCAAGUUAUGUUUUGUGACUUUGUAG
rnacentral:rRNA from 1 species